GGGGAAUAUUGGACAAUGGGCGCAAGCCUGAUCCAGCAAUUCCGCGUGGGUGAAGAAGGUCUUCGGAUUGUAAAGCCCUUUCGACGGGGACGAUGAUGACGGUACCCGUAGAAGAAGCCCCGGCUAACUUCGUGCCAGCAGCCGCGGUAAUACGAAGGGGGCUAGCGUUGCUCGGAAUUACUGGGCGUAAAGGGCGCGUAGGCGGCUUACCUAGUCAGGCGUGAAAUUCCUGGGCUCAACCUGGGGGCUGCGUUUGAUACUUGUAGGCUAGAGGAUGGAAGAGGGUCGUGGAAUUCCCAGUGUAGAGGUGAAAUUCGUAGAUAUUGGGAAGAACACCGGUGGCGAAGGCGGCGACCUGGUCCAUUACUGACGCUGAGGCGCGACAGCGUGGGGAGCAAAC
rnacentral:rRNA from 1 species